rnacentral:lncRNA from 1 species
UAGGUUGGUAAAACUUCCUCUAAAUUUAAGAAAGAAAACAGACUGUUUGAAUGACAUGUAAAGAACUGGCUUAUGAAUAAAGUGCAUGGGUUGGUAGUACUAUCUUUUUGUGCUUGGAUACCUUUAUUAUUUGCUUACCUGUGAAUUCUUAUCUAUGAUCUGAACAGUACAGCAUAUUAAUUGAAUAGUCACCAUAACAUUCUGUUGUUUGAAUGGUAAGGGUGUGGUGAGAGUGAAUUGAUACCAUCAAGUGAAACCUACUCAGAUGGUAAUGUAUUGGCCUUGUAACCAAAGUUACCAUCAAACCUGGAAACUUACUGUUAAAAUUUAUGACUCUUUUUGAUUAGAAAUAUUAAUAUGAUUCCAUCUCUUCAGUAUGAUUCUGAUUACUUAUCCAUAGCAAACCACAAGUAGAUACAUAUUUCUGAUUUAUUGUUUUGAGAUAAAGCCUUAAAGUGUG